UAUAAAUAUAGCUGUCCUACCCUCUGUCCCCCACGUUUUCCCCAAAAAAUACUCGCCCGAGCUAAAACUAUAAACCUCACCCGUCCUCUCCUUUUCGAUCCCUCUUCUCUUCCUAAUUCCGACCUCUCAUUUUCCCGAUAUAAUUAUAAUAAUAAUAAUUUUAAAUUUUAAAACUUUUAAUUUAAUAGGUGGUGCACUUAUUAAUUAUACCUAGUCGAUCGUUGUCGGAGCAGGAGGAAAAGCGAGGGGGAAGGGAAGGGGGGGGGGAUGAGAGGGAUAACGUACUGGCUCGCGGAGCACCCGGCCAUCGUGGGGUUCCGGUGGAGCCACGCGCAGUCGUGGGGCUCGACGUGGUCGUUCCUCAUCUCCUCCCUGGCGCUCUGUGUCGUGGCGGCGGCCGCCCUCCACCUCGCCCUCUGCGUCCUCCUCCGGCACCGGCGAGUCCCCCUGGGCCCGGUCCCGGCCCUCCACUCCCUGGUGAUGGCGCUCGCCUCGGGGGCCAUCUUCCUCGGCACGCUCCUCUCGGCGCUCGCGGAGAUCCGCGACUCGCGGUGGGCGUGGCGCGGGCGCAGCCGGAACAGCCCGCUGCAGUGGCUGCUCUGCUUCCCGCUGGGCACCCGGCCCUCGGGGCGCGUCUUCUUCUGGUCCUACGCCUUCUACCUCUCCCGGUUCCUCCACCUCCUGCGCGCCUUCUUCGCCAUCCUGCGCCGCGCCCCCAACCCGCUGGCCCGCGUCUUCUCCCACUGCGCCCUCGUCGCCAUGUCCUUCCUCUGGCUCGAGUUCUCCCAGUCCUUCCAGGUCCCCGCCAUCCUCGCCGCCACCCUCGCCCACGCCGUCGUCUUCGGCUACCGCUUCUGGGUCGGGGUCGGCCUCCCCGUCGCCCCCUCCGUCCCCGUCGUCCUCGGGUGCCAGCUCGCGCUGCUCUGUUGCAACCUCGUGUGCCACGUCGGCGUCCUCUUCUUCCACUUCGGCAAGGGAGGAUGCAACGGCAUCGGCGCCUGGGUCUUCAACUCCGUCCUCAACGGGGCGCUCCUCUGGGUCUUCCUCGUCUGCUACGCCAGGAAAUCCGACGGCCGCGUGGUGGAUCGAUCCGGGCCGUCCGUGUCGCAGGAUGAGAGCAAGAAGGAGCGGUGAGGAUUAACUUGGUCGUCAUGCGUCCGUGUAUAGUAGGUGUACGAGAGAGGGAAAUCGUCGUCUACCCCGGUAAGCCUUUUGCAGAGCCGCCCACGAAUAAUGACAAUAUAUAUACAUGUUUCCAUGAGAUACAGACAAAUAAUUAGAUAAAUUAGGGAGGAAAUUAUAGUGGGAUCUUUGUGCGGAGCAAAAAGAAAGGGCACCUUGUAUAGAUGAGAAAUCAUAUAUAAUAUAUAACUUCUUUCUUUUCCCAUUGAUAUAUGUUAAAUAUAAUCAACCAAAGUUAUUUCUUAUAAACCACUUUGCAACCCUUUUUAAUAAAGAAUGAAAUAGCCGCCAGCAUCCACCGGGACAAUAGCUUGACGAAGAUCUUUUAGUCUUCAUCUUGAGGAGCAGCUUUUAGCUCCAAAGAUCCUUUGCUCCUUAGGCAUCUAAGAAAAGCGACUAGCUUUUGAUGUUCUGGCUAUAUCUACAAGAAAAAAAAACUGCAUUGUCAUGGCCUUCUCUGCCUCAAAUGUCGACAUUGAGUACGCAUUCAGCAGAAUUGCUGUGUGCCAGCUGGUCUCAAAUAGAUCUCCAUGCAUAAAAUCCAGCAAAGCUGUCUCAUGUUCAGGACACUAGGAAAUAUAGUUUUUGUAGUGUCCUAAAUCCUAUAAUUUUAUUGAAUUAUUCAUAAGGUAGGAAAAACUAUUUUUUGCCUGAGGAUCAUAAUAGGGUUCAUUGUAAUGUAUGAGUUAGUUUCCCUAGUAAUUAUUCUUCUUGUUAAUUACUCUACCUAAAGUAAUUAAGUGAUAUAGAUCUUAUAUGGUAUAUCCAGAUCAUAGCUCCGUCAUCACGAAAAGAUGAUGAAGUAUGUAUUCUAUUUCUACAACUUCAAUACAUUGGAGUGAGUAACAGUGAUUCAUUUUCAACCAUUUUAUAUUGGAAUCAUAUCUAUCAACCACUGCCGACCCUGCUCCGGCUUUAGUAUUUAUAUAAGCAGUUGGUGGAGAACUAGUGAGACUGAUCACACUGAUCAAGAAAGAAGCACAAACCUUUUGUGUUGUCCCAGAAUCCAAAGCGGGGAGGAUUCAGAGCAUCAGAUGCCAACUGGAGUAAAUGUUACGCUGUCAAAUUUGAGCCUGAUUCAAACCCCUUGGAACUUGGAGUACUAGACGUUGCCGAAAACCACACUGCCUAAAAGACAAAGAGAGAGGGGAAAAAAAAAGAAACAAAUCAUUAAGUUCACUGGUUACCAUUGGUAACACGAUAUUUACAACUCUCUACUCGGGCGUUAAAAGAAAUUGAUCUACCAUGUUAGCAAAUGGGUGUUGUUCAUGGGCGGUGAUGUGUCCCUUACUAUUGCUUCCAUUCAUCCAAGUACCAGACCCCUUAGACGAGGCGUGAUACUUACCAUUGCUUCCAUUCAUCCAAGUACUAGAUCCCUUAGAGGAGGCGCAUAGAAGGCUGUAAGAAUAGCAUUCCCGACAUAAUUACUGUUUCGAUUUUCCAAUUGAACAGAGAAUCAACAAUCCCAAUGAAAUAAUUUAUAUCGAUAUCUCACCUCUCUCAACUCUUCUUUAUUCAUACUAUAAGAUCUAUAAAAUAACAAAGAACGAAUGAAGUUAAUGAGCAAUAGGAGGGAGAAUUAACAGAACCAACAAAUAUAGCUUGAGACACAACCAGCCUAAUAGUUUUCCGUCUUCGUCAUUUGCCGUCUACAUGCAACAGCAUCUACAAGCAACUAACAGAGUACAAAGAUGAACGACCCUGAAAGUAUCCAAAGUCUAAUAUAUUCUGCCAAAUCUUGUUGAAAGUUGUGGUUCCACUUCCAAUAUGUACGAGAUUAGCUUGGUUCAGUUUGAAAAUCUUUCAAGGCAAAGAAGGCAUAGAAAUGUUAAGUAUUAUAAUUUCCAAUAUGUACGUGUUAAGAACUUUGGUGUCCACAUUUUAAAUAUCAUAUAAGUUUUGCGACUUUAUUGGAUCCAACCAGCAUUAAUAAAUUAAUAAACUACUUUAUCUGGCAAGUAAUAGUAAAACUUGGAUGGCAUUUUAGGUCCAUAAGAUUCUACCUCAUAUGAAGUUACUCAUUCUACUGUGAAUAAUCAAAACAUUAAUGUACAGAAGAGAGUUUCGAGAAAGACACAGAAAUUAGAGACGCUGACAUGUUGCCACGUAAACUAGUAAAAAAAACAGAGCACCUAACAAGCUCAGCAAACUACCACUACAACAUAAAUAUAUGAGGGAAGAAUGUAUGAAUAGUAUCUCAUUGUUAAUAUCAACCAUUGAUUACAAUACUAGUCUCUUUCACUCUGAAGGAGUAAUUGCAAUUAACCCUGGAUAAACCGUAACGGCAGCCCGUAAUAUUCCGCCGCAAAUAUGAGAAAGGGAAAGGAUUUGCUCUACUAGCUAGUCCUAAAGCCUGAUAGGCACUAGCAUCCAAUUCCAACAUCUAAACAGUAGAGAGUGGAGAAACAAAUAUCAUGGUCUGCAGCAUAGUAGCCAUCUAAUUAGAAAAACACUAAGAAUUUCUAGAUAUCCGACUUUCUUAAAGAAACCACCCAUAUAUAAGAUAUUUUUAACACCACUAUCAGAAUACUAAUAAAACAAACUUGUAGACCUGCUGACCUUCUAGAUGGACAAUUGUCAAUACAGGAGAACGACAUGAACAUAAUUUUGAGGACGAUACUGGUAUUCAUAAAGAGAUGCAUCCAUUAUACAUACCGUAAAAGGUCUCCAAAUCAAUCAUCCUCCCUCUAUGAGUUGAGGGUCGCCAUCCUCAGGAGAAAUAUGACCCCCUGUCACCUCAGAAAUACCUUUAGGUGACCUCGCUCUGCAGGAGAGCUCCUGUAAACGCAUUAAGAAAAGGAGAUUCCACAUCUUACCAAUUACCAUUUUGGCUAUCUGUCGAUGUUGCAAAGGUCAGAUAAAAUCAGUCUUUAGAAGGAGAAACUUUAUAUCUAGCAAUCAUAGAUCAUUGUUAUUGCUCUCGAGUCCAGAGAAUCCAGAGAAGAGUCGCCACAGAGAUAGUAUAAAAAUGAAUAAUGAAAGAUUCAAUAUACAGCCCAGCAAGAAUAUUAACAUCAUUUAUCUCGUUCGUGUAUAAUCAAAAACAAUUUUGAAAGCAUAAAUUAGCAUCUACUGAUUUCAAACAGACAGACCUGACGCCAAAGACAAAAUGCAAUUUUAGCAAAUUAAGAUAUAAAGAUAAUAUCUUAAUAAUAAAACAAAAGCUAACUAAAAGAAAGUACUUACAGUUUUUCCAAUUUCUAAUUUGAGAGGACAGAAAGAUUCUUGACUAUAUCAUGUCAAACUUACAGGUUGGUUGAUUGACAUAUACUCCUGAAGCUAAAAUAAAAUUUCCACAAACCAUAAAGUGAACAUAUUUUCCAGAUUAAAAUGCUUCAAAUUAAUAAAUAAUUGUGAAACAUCACAAGACAAACAUCAAGUUGAAAAUAGAAUGUCAGCAGGGAAGAGUGGAGUUAAAAGAAAGGCCAAAGAAAAUAAUCGUAUCCAAUAUUUAUUACGGUAUAUAUUAGACAUAUGAUGUUUAAGUUGUAUGAUGAGAUAAUUUAUACGUCCCACAAGGCUACGUCAGCAAUAUAAGGAAAGUAUCUACUUAAGAAGGUGUUAUAAGAGGACCGUGAAGACCUACACUACAAUGGGAUGGAGUGAGAAAAUAAAAAUGUAUAAUAGCAAUUUUGCUAAACAGCAAAUCCAUAACAGAGUGGAUGAAAAACUAACUCCACAUAGCCAACUACUGAAAAUAAUCGUAUCCAAUAUUUGUAAGGUAUAUAUUAGACCUAUGAAGUUUAAAUUGUAUGAAUGAGAUAAUUUAAACGUCCCACAAGGCUACGUCACCACUAUAAGGAAAGUCUUUACUUAAGAAGGUGUUAUAGGAGGACUGUGAAGGCCUACACUACAAUGGGACGGAAGAGUGAGAAAACAAAAAUGUAUAAUAGCAGUUUUUCUAAACAGCAAAUCCAUAAUAGAGUUGGAUGAAAAACUAACUCCACAUAGCCAACUGCUAAUAGAUGGGAUAAAUUCAUGGAAUGUGCAAUAUUGUUUUAUUUUUAAUCAUUUAACAUUACAAUCAUCUUCACCACUCCUGACUCUACCCUGUUUUUCAUAUAAUAUAAACAGUUGGUGCAGAACUAGUUAGGCUGAUCAAUAAAGAAGCACAAACCAGUUGGACUUCCCCAAAAAGGUUCAGAGCAUCAGAGGCCACCCGGAUAUAUGUUUGACUGUCAAAUUUCAGUCUGAUUCAAUUCUCUUGGAACUUGGAGUACCAGACUUCACCAAAAAUCACACUUCUUCAUUGACAAACAAAAGAAACUGAAAUUAGUUAUUCAGGGCACAUAUUAAUUGAUGUUAUACUCAAAAUUUUCUUCUUGUAAGUGAAAAGAGGUAGAACUGUUAGACUAAGGGAAGAAUUUUCUUCACAGUGCUUGACAAAUCUCACACCUAUCCAUGCACUAGAUCCUUGUAGAAGCACGUAAAAGCUUAUAAGAAUAGCAUUUUCCAUCGUAUUUAUACUCAUAACUGCAGGGCAUUGAUGAAUCUAUCAAGGUCAAAUUUCAGAUUAAAUUCAUCAGUGGUUUGUGAUAUCCGGUUCUUUAACAAAUUCAACACAGUAUGGAAUUUGGACAAAAUGCAGUUAGUCUUCUCUUACGUGCAGAAACACACUAUGAUUGUGGUUCACCGCACCAGGUAAGUCCUUGUAAGCAAUCUUCACUCCCAUAAAUUCAGAUAAAUGAUGACUGUUCUGUUUUCCUGAAAAUUCAUGGGAUAUCCUACAUAGAUAUCUUACAUGCAGCCGACUCUCAUUUUUAAAGUAAAAGGUCAAGAAGCAAUGGAGAUAACAAGCAGUCAAAAUACGGACAAAUUGAAACACGACCAAUAAAUAUAACUUCGAAACACAACCUCUUAACAGUUCGAUUGCAUGUCAUUUCAGCAUAAACAUUCAUCUGCAUCAUUUAUGGGCAGCCAAUUAUUGUUAAAAGUUUUAGUUUUGGUAGAAUAAAUCUUGUGGGAAAGUUAUGGUUCCACUUCCAACAUGUCUGAGCCUAGUUUAGUUUGAAAAAACUUGUUAAGACUAAACAGGCAUAAAAACGUAAAGAAUUUCAAUUUCCAACAUGUACAUUCUAAGAACUUCAGGACCCACAUUAUAAAUAUCAUCUAAGUUUUCCUUUUAUAAAAUUUCCCAAAAAGAUGCAAACUAAUUUUACACUAGCAGUAUUAAUUUCCCCUAUAUCCUGACCAACUAGUAUAUAAUAAAAUAACAAACUACUUUCUCUCUGGAAAGUAAUACACAAAACUCUGGACGGUGCUUUCAGGCACCAUAAGAAUACAACAAGGACCGAAAAACAACCUUUUAAUGCAACAGCAUCUACCAACUGUAGCUUUUGGAUCUGGAUUUCACUGCAAAUAAUAUACCAAAGGAACUUGAAAUAAGUUUAGUUGCCAUAAAUUGUGUAUCUCUGUGCCUGAAGUCAUGCCUGUAUUCAAGUAAUGCAUACUGGUUUCUAGCUAUAAGCACGAAUGAAAUAAAUGAUAGUUUCAAGCCCCUCUUUUGCUGAAUAUCAUCAAUGGUUACACAAGCAUUUAAUGCCUCGACAUCAAACAAAUGUCAGGCAAUUGUCGGCUUAAGUUGUUUCGUGUUUGCGUUAUGCUAAAAGGUUAAGCAGUUGUACUGAAGAUUCAAGGUAUCCAACGUAGUUUAGAUAAGGCACCUAUAUAGAAUAAGUUGUAUAAUAACUGAUUGAGAACAGUUAAAGGAUUUGUACCAGGGCCACAAAACAACUAGGAAGAGAUUUUAUUCAGCAGGUGUCAUGGGCAAGGAAGACCUAAACUACUAUGGCAGGAACAAGUAAAGAAAGAUGUAAUAGCACUUGGUUGAUAAAACAGCCUAUCCAUAGUAGAUUUGACUGGAAAAGAGCUCUAGACAGCCAACUGGAAAUAUAUGCAGGUACUACAAAUGUUUUUCUUUUCAUGGUUACCGUUGACAUAUUGAAAAUGAGACAAGGUGAACCACUUGCAAUGAAACCAUCUAACACAUUAUGAAUUGUACUUGCAAUGGUUCAAGGAACAGAACUCUCCAACAGCCUCCUGUCGAACUCGCAGAAUUAAUGAAAAUACCUCCAAGAAAACCACAAUUAGGCAUCUACAAAAGAUAACCAUUUUUAGAUCCUUGAUCAUACUAUUAGAUACUUAGAAGACUUAGCGAAUGAUGGGAAAAAAAAAAAACCAUAAUCAGAUUUCAGGAUAAAGCACAACGACAGUAACAGCUGAAAGAACAACAACAAUCAAAACCACAUUUCGAUAUAAAGCAUAGUAAGAUUAGAUCUAAUAAGUAUAAUUUUUCAAGAAUUAGGGUUCCUACGACUACAUAACAGCUGAAAGAACAACAACAAUCAAAACCACAUUUCGAUAUAAAGCAUAGUAAGAUUAGAUCUAAUAAGUAUAAUUUUUCAAGAAUUAGGGUUCCUACGACUACAUGUAUCCAAUCUUCAAGGUAAUUAGAUCCUAAGCAGAACAAUUUGUCAAUAAAAACAAUAAAAAUAAAUCUGAUGCCCCUCAUGCUGUCCACAAAGCUUACUAUUGUACAAUCUUAAAACAGACUACUCUAUGUGCCAAACGCAUGCAACAUUCCUUAUGAAUUGAUCUCGUGAAGGUAUCAAAACAAGAAGAGUAGUGGUGAUGGAAUCACGUAAUUCAUAUCAUGACACGCUAACCAGAACGUAAAGCACACUUUCUUUAAACAUCACCGGCAUUAUGAUUCUUGCAUAGAAAACCUAAACGAAGAAAUCUAAUUCGCUGUAAUAAGGGUUUCAAGUUCAUCAAGAAUCAAACGAUUUGAAAGAGUACAGCAAUGAAGAAUCAGAAUCCCUUGUAAACAACAAACACAGGUUCUAACAUAACCGAAUACGUAGCAAGAACUAGGUUUUCCACGUAGCUAAGGGAUCCGAUCAAUCAUGGGAAUUAGAAACAAACAAGAGUUGAUCUUACGAAAAUCGAUCGAGAAAACCGGAUCCGAAACCAAAUCAUCUAACAGAGCGAAAAAGAUAGAGAUCGAAGGAGAAGAGAAACGACGAGAGGAGAAGUAUACUACGACAUCGCCAUGGAACCCUCGUGGUGAUCUCCGCGGAGGCGAAAUUCGCCGGACUCGAGCGGACAAUUACUCAGCAGGCGAUGUGGCGGGAGAACUGGAAAUUCGAGUGGAGAGGUGGAAAUUAGAAUGCGAGAUACGCUGAUCUCGGGCCCUUUUAUAGGCGAGGCAAUAGUCCCGUUGCGUCCCACAAAUGAAAAAUUGAUGUGCAGUGUCUCCCGUUGCAUUAGGCGGCAUACGCAACGGCUAUAAAUGGGCCAGGCUGGCCCAGUUUAAUUAAAUGGGUCGAGCUUGCAAAUUAAAAAUUGUUGUGUGGUGUCUCCCAUUGUAUUAGGUGGCGUGCUCAACGGCUAUAAACGGUCCAAUAUGGCCUAGUUUAAUUAAAUGGGCCGAGCCGUAACGUUGGACUCGCAAAAAAAAUAUAGAUAAAUGUCUGAGCCCGGGUUCGAACCGGGGACCUCUAGUGUGUGAGACUAGCGUGAUGACCAACUACACCACCCAGACACUUGAAAAAGCAACUCAAUAAAAUUAUGAAAUAUUUUGUCUUGUUAAUUCGAAGAAACCAACAAACACUCCACGUGGAGAAAACUCGCGCAUAUUUUACUGCUCUCACUUUCAUAUAUACUAUCAUUGGACAAAGUACUGCAAUGCAUCGUAAAAUUAAAGUAUCUUAAAAACAACGAGUAGACAGUUGCAUACAAAAGUUAACGGAAAAUUUCAAAAGUCCCCCUGUGAUUUCGUACUUUUUUAUUUUACUAUCCUAUAGUUUAAAUUGUAUCAAGUAAGUUAAAAAAAAACUUCAAAAACCUUCCAUGUGAUUUCGUACUUUUUUAUUUUAGUACCCUGUGGUUUAAAAUGUAUCAAGUUAGUACCCUGUGGUUUCGCACUUUCUCACUUUAGUAUCCUGUGGUUUAAAAUGUAUCAAAUUAAUACUCUAUGAUUUUAUUUUUGUAUCAAAUUAGUAUAGUGUGAUUUUAUUUUUGUAUCAAGUUAGUACCCUAUGGUUUUUAAACCAUAGGGUACUAAAGUAGGAAAAUGCGAAACCACAGAAUACUAAAGUGAAAAAGUGCAAAAUCACAGGAUAUUAACUUGAUAUAUUUUAAAUUACAAGAUAUUAAAGUGAGAAAAAGUGAAACACAAGAAGGUAUUUGAAGUUUACCCAAAAGUUAACACUAUUAUGGCUUUUACGUUCAUCCCAAUUCCUGAAGCAAGGAAGAGUGUGUGAAUAGGAUCCUUGUUCCCACACACAACUCACAUAAAGUAAAAAAUGUUCUCAAAGAUAGGUAUAUAAAAGCUCUAUUAAUUAUUCUUGACCUGAAUUUAGGUGAUGGAUUUUUUUUUCCAAACAUCUACAGCAGCCUAUAUAUAAACAUAAAACAAAAAUUUUAAUAGCAAUCACUAAACAAAAUUUGAACCUAUCUCUAAUGUCAAACUAACUAAUAUUAAGAAAUAAAUCUGACAAAAAUAAAUUUAAAUUUCUAAUAUGACUAAAUCUAAACUUACCAAAAAUAUUGAAUCUCUUAUCAACAAAAAAAGGAAAUAAGAAACGAAAAUAGGCAAACAAACUUUACCAUAGAUUGUAAACCUGCUCGGACCGACAUGAUUUAUAUACACAUAGAUUGUAAACCUGCUUGGACCGACAUAUGAACUCAAUUUCUUUACAGAACAAACAAACAACCACAUGAAACUCUUCUAGAACACUUACAUUUGCAUCCACCAAUAUAACAUGCAAAACCUUAGCAUGCGAAGCACAACCCUGAAUUGAAUACAAAUAGAGUAACAUUUACUCGAGCAAGCGCCUGCGCUUACACCAAGUGACGGCGAUCACAUAGAGGAUAAUGCUCCCGGCCGCAGAGCCACCCACUGUCCACAAGAACUCAGGCAUGCCAGCCUUCUUCUCAUCAAAUAGAUCAAUCUGGAUGUUCAUGCCAAAUAUUCCAACGAGGGCAACAAAGGCACUGACUAUCAAGGUUGCGGUGGUUAGCAUGACACCCAUCUGUAGAAGAUGAUUCUGCUUGUCAUCUAGCAUGAUGUUUAUAUAAUCCUCUGUGUCAUCCACGUACUCCCGAAGCUACAAUGAUCCAACAAGAGGUAAGAAAAGGUUUGAGUUAGGUUUACCUCGGCCACCACGGAAAUAGUUGACCAAAAUGAGCUAGAAAAGCAAGCAAUUAGAACCACAGGAUAAGAGGACACGUACCGUGGUCAGUUUAUUCAAUGUACUGUCAAUCUGUACAAAAUAUGCUUCCAAAAGCAUUUCAAGUUCUUGGACAUCGAGAUGCUUGUUGCUACUUUUGGUGCUAUAAGUAUUGGCUCGAUGGCUCUCCACAUUGAAUAAACAGGGACCAUGCGGUGAAUUGUCGUUUACAACAUUUUGCAACUCAUCCUCGUACAUUCUAGGGGCAUCAUUCUCCUCUGAUGAUAUCUCAGCACGCAUCCUAAAGAAUCGAUUUCUUUCAAGUUACUGAAGACGUCAUUAGAAAUGCACAAGCUCGGAAGACAUCGGAAAUUACUCUGAGAUACCUGUCCUCAUCAAUGCCCUCACUUUGAUCAUUAAGAGAGGAAUGAGAAGCCUCUUCAGAUAGGUGUUGCUGCAUCAUUUUGUCGGUUAAGUACAUUUCAGCCAUAUCAUCAUCAUCAUCCAACAGGUGCUCAAGUUCAUCCCUCACCUAUCAGUGUAGAGAAAAGGUGAACUGGGACUAGCCAGCAAAAUAAAUGUUCAUAAAAGCAGCCAUAAAUAAUUGUGAUCCUUCCAAACACAUAAAGAGAGUGCAGAUGAGAAAGAAAUAAUAAGUGCAAUUCACUUGUGAUAGAUAGGACCUCCAAAUUAUUAUUCUAAUAUGCUGCAUGAACUAUAAUGAAGUGAAACAUGUGAUAGGAUGCAAGUAAAUGUAAACAAUAUAUAUAUAUAUAUAUAUAUAGAUAUAAUAUUCUAGAUGAGUCCAGCUACUAUACUAUUGAUAGUACCAAGUCUUUGGUACUAUUGAGUUUUCUACCAUUAGAUCUACCCUUUGAUCAUUUCCACCUGUUAGAUUAUACUAUUAAACCAACCAACCACUCAACCCUAGGGGACCACUAUCAUCCUAACCGCACAUCCUUUCAUCCAACAGCCAAAAACUCAAUAGUACCAACGGCUUGGUACUAUUGAUAGUAUAGUAGCAUAAUUCUCUCUCUCUCUCUCUCUCUCUCUCUAUAUAUAUAUAUAUAUAUAGAGUGGGCUGGUAUGCUUCUAGAAGCACGGAGCCCUCCGUGCUUCCAAGUUGUUUUCGAUGUUCGGACUUUCGAAUCGACGAUCGGUUCCAUUAGAGUUGAUCUAGAGUAUUUGAAGUAUCUAGAAAAUAAAUUUUGCGAUUUUUCGAUAUCAUUUGCCUAGUGAUCGAAGUGGCUCAAAAUCAACGGCUGAAAAUAAAAAUCUUACAAAAUAUGAUGAUAUGACAUUAAAAUUUUAGAUCAAAGUUAUUGAUCUUGUUUUAUAUGGUAUAAAGAAUUUUCUAUCAAAAUUUCAUGUGAUUUGGAUAUUUCUACACCGUUAAACUUGCAACCGGCUCACCACGGCCAUUAAAAUUAUUGAUUUUGAGCCCCUUCGAUCACUAGGCAAAUGAUAUCGAAAAAUCACAAAAUUUAUUUUCUAGGUACUUCAAAUACUCUAGAUCAACUCUAACGGAGCCGAUCGUCGAUUCGAAAGUCCGAACAUCGAAAACAACUUGGAAGCACGGAGCGCUCCGUGCUUCCAGAAGCAUACCAGACGCACUCUAUAUAUAUAUAUAUAUAUAUAUAUAUAUUCAUGAAUCCUACGAUAAAGAUGAUUUACUUUUCUACUAAAAAUGGUACAGUGGUUAGCAAAGUAGGCCAAUUUCAACAGAUGCAAAAAUGCAAUUUGCUAUAAAUAGGUGCAAAGUUUAGAUCUCCCACCUUAACCAACAUAGACAUCAUCAAUUAUAAAAGCCUGAAGUUCAAUGAGUAGUUCCAUUCAUCAGAGAAAGGGGAACUGACCUUCUGAACACGCCCAGUUAUUGCAACCAAUCGGCUUUUAAUUUGGCGGACAUGUUCCAAAUUGAGGGUACUUAUCUUCGAAGUUAGCUUGUCUAAUGCUGGAUGCGCCUCUUUCUCCAAAACCGCCGCCUGGUUUAGAACAGAAAGAAAAAGAGAUAAAAAAGAUUGGAAUUCAAGUACUGCAUAGGAGUUGCGACAACUGCGUAGAAUUAACUCGAGAUACGAGAUCAUUGUUUUAGGGCAAGACAAAGACAAAGAUACGGGACCAUUCAGUAACAAAAGACAGAUGGACUAAUUUAAUAUUUGAUAUUAACAGAAUGUCAGGCUGCACUAGAUAAACAAGAGAUCACUGUUCAUGAAAAAACAGGACCAUUUUUAUAGAUUGUUAAAAAAUAAGAAGCAGCAGAUAUUCUAAGUAUUACAUCAACAUGUUAGAUGACUAAAACACAUAUCAAUAAGAAUACCUGCAUGUUACAUGAAUAUGCGUUUAAGAUGUCUUGGCCUUUUCUAUUUAGCAGGAAAUAGCAAGCAAAUCGGAUAAACUUCUAUUUUAACUAAAUAUAAUUGCUACAUUAUCUUGUAAAUUACUUACUCCCACCUAUUCGUGCUUACUGUUAUUUUCUUUCAACAGCCGGUCUCAAGACAAGAUAAAUUAGGAGUUGCAUUCAGUAGCCUGACAUCUAGUGAAGAACUUUUGUCAAGAGGGCUCUGGUCAACCAUUAAUGUACACAAUCCUAUAUUCAUAUAGAGUUGUACACUAAUACAACCCUUUAAGGGACAACAUAAAUGACUGAAAAAUAUCCAACCAAGCAACCACGGCGAGCAUUUCUUAACUAAAAUAGUGUAGACCAACAUGACAAUUGAAGGAGAAGGAUGAAGUGCAAAUAACACCCAAAAUAUAUCAUGAUUGCACUUUACCCUCCUUUAUAAUCAUAACCAUCUGAUAACUCCCGAGGUUUGUAAAGCAUUCGCAAAUGCCCCUCUUCAAUAGGGAAUAAAGUGAACAGUAUUUUUCUACGAACAAAGGGGGUAAAUUGCAGAAGAAUAUAUAUAGUUGUUAUCUACAUUUUAACAAAAGCAUAUCACUCGUCGAAGAUAUGUUUUUCACCUCAUUCUCUAAGCAAGUGCAAGCCGCCUCUAGACAUGCCUCGAGUGCGAUAAACUCAAACGGAAGAGCCCUCGAACCGCGAGCAGAAAUAUCCUCAUCAUCUUUUCCUUUCUCAAUCUCACAUUCCUUCAAAAGAAUAAAAGGAAAUAAUGACAAGCGAAACAAAGAAAACAUACAAGAAAAGUAUGAAGAUAUUUAGCAUCACAUAGGUCGGUAUUGCAUAUAACCCUUCCAGUUAUGCGAAUCUUUCAAAAAGAGAAGCCCUUCCAUCAUCAAGAAAAGUGAAGGAACCUGCUGUUGGUGGCGGUGGCGGAGGCGGCGCUGCAGCUCGCGGACGAAGGGCUCGACGGCGGGGUCGCGGUGGUUGAGGAGGAGCACCUCGUGGGCGGUGAUGAUGGUCUUGAUGUGCUCGAGCCCCACGACGAUGGCGCGCUCGCGGCCGAGCACCGUCGACGGGUACGAGAGCUGCGGGUCCAGGAUCCGCAGGUCCCGCGCCGGGAGCCCCGUGCGCCGCAUCACCGCUUGCCUCCCCAGCUCCGCCACCCUCGCCUCCCCCGCCGCGUCCACCGCCACCCACGCCCUCACCCCCGCCGCCGCCCCCUUCUUCCUCCCCCCCACUCCUCCCACUCCCCCUCGCCCCUCCUCCUCCCCCGCCCCCUUCCACGGCGGCCGAGCUCCCCGCAUUUCCUAGGGUUAGGGUUAGGGUUAGGCUUAGGGUUUCUCUCUCUCUCUCUCUCUCUCUUUCUCGGAGCAGUGGAGUGCGCAAUGGAGAAGAGGGGGAAGUGAGGUGAGGGGACGUUAUCGGGUGGGGGCGGUAGCGGUCGAAAGUUUAAAUGCUCUAUGCGGAGGUUCGUAUAGAAAUUCUAUGAGGAGAGGAGCUUGUUGCAUCAUGCACGUGAAUUGGCCUUCGUUUACAAUCCCAGCCGUUAGUUGUUUACGCUAGAUGAGAGUAUCGCGUUGAUACGUAGAGAUAGUUUAUAAGGAGCUCCGCAUAGCGGAGACAGAGAAACACCUGCCGAUAAAAAGUAGGUGCUGCUUUUAAUUGGAGUUAAACGGUUAUUUAUUGCGGUUGUUUUGGGCCUCAGAUGUGAACGACACACUACCCAGCCCAACAGGCCAGUACUUUGAUUAGUAAACAGUUUUAAAAUAAACACCUCAGCUUAAUUUUCUUUUAUUGAGACCUUAGUUUUUUAUUUUUCUGAUUUACUUAUUUUAGUUGAUUAGAUUGAUAGUUUUAUUUAAAAAUGCUCGAGAUUUUAUCGAAAUGAAUAGUUUUAACAACUUGUUAGCAAACUAAUUGAAGGAUUCGUCAAUAAAAAAAUCAAACUGAAGAAAAAAAAAAAAAAAAAAAAAAACUAUGUUUUCACUUAAUUAUUAUUGAAGGAUUGAGGGAAUUAACAUUCCCUUUUCGUUAACUCAUAUAGCCACAACGAACGAAUGUCGCGCGUUUGAGAAACUUUGACAUAGCAAAUACUCCCAAGCAAUGUUGCGGAUCAUGCACUCCUAACCAAACCAGCCACCUGGAGAGAUCAGCUAGCAGCUAUACAUGCAUUCCGACCGCCCCUAGAGCAAGUGGCAAAGGAUUUGGUGGUUGGUAUUCGAGGUUUCAAGUUCGAAUCCUAGUUGAUUCACAUUUCUAGCUAAGUUUAUUUAUAAAUAAAAUAUGGGCAGUGCCGGCCCACAUUUUUCGAGCCAAAACAGGUUAGGGGACUGUCCCAGCUCAGCCGGACAUCAAAUUCAAGCUGUGCCGUGCCGGGCCAGAGCUUUCUAGCCUUCGGUCUGUGCUCCAAGCCGGUCACUUUUUUAUUUUUUUUAAAAAUAUAUAUAUAAUCUAAAAAUAUAAAAAAAUAUAUUUUUAUUUAAAUUGAUAUUUUGAUUAAAAAAUUUAAAAUUUAUAAAAAUAAUUAUAAGAUAAUAAAUAUUUAAAUUUAUUAUAUAUAUAUAUAUAUAUAUAUAUAUGAAAUCAUUUUUUCGUGACCAAAUAAUGACAAAAGCACGCUCUUAAGGUGGCCCUGGGAGAAGGGCUUGGCAACCCUCUCCCAGGUGAUCAGACCCAGAGGCCAGACCACAAGGCACUCCUUGGCCUUGCCCGGGUUUCCAAGCCAUGUUGGUCUCAGCGCUGGAAUGCCAGCGGCCUCUUCCUCGGCCCGCCAAUCCGUUUUGGGCCGUACCGUGCCGGGCCUUACGGCCUCAGAAAAGUGGCCAAUACGGGCAAAGAGUCGGACCGAUCCGGCCCAGCACGGAUGCUAUAGUAGUCGUGCCGGGCCGGGCAGCCCGUUUACACCCCUACAUAGCCCUCAGCAAAAUCAACAUUCCAGGAUGCAUUCCCUCGUGUCUCUGACUUAACCUGUGCUCGACAAAAUUCCGCCGUGGAUUUCACCCAAAACAAAAAUGCUCUUAAAUACAUAGUAUUCAUAACCGUGUGUAUAUAAAUAUAUAUAUAAAUUGCCAAGCCUUUAAAUAGGAUAUACGGAUCCAUUUAUUGCAGUUUUCGAUCUAAUUAAGAAAAACUCCUAAAACUAUACACAAGAAAUUUCUCUGGACAAGUAAUUAUGUAUCAGGAUCCAACAUAUAUGCUCACUAAUCCAUGUCUACAAGAAAACCUUUUGUUAGCUGAAUUCAAUCCUACCCCUCUUCAUCCCUUUGCUGUCUUUAUAUUCUACUGAUCUCCAAAAUUCGCUGAGUCAAUCACUCAACGCACUGUUAAUUCUUCUCUCUCUCUCUUUUUGGCACUAAGUCAUUAUCAUUGAUCAAGCCCAAAUAAACUGGGUGCAAAUUGCAGCAAAGGCUCCAACGUGCUCGGAGAAAACUUUCUCGCAAAGAGAAAACAAAUGGAAGACGGCUGGUUGUUGUGUAAGCACUUCUGAUCUUCGGUGAUCCGUUUCAGAAAAGCUUCAUUGAUGUCACCCUUUCCAAAAGUAGCAGGGUGGGAGCCGCCUCUCGACCAAUCUACCCAUGUGACACUUCUAUUCGCGAUAAGGUCCGGAGAUUCAACGGUGAACAUGGUAGGAAUGUAGUGCUCAUCCAUAUAGCAAGGUGGCUUGCAGAAUUCUUUGAACUUUGCGUAGUAUUUGGUGUCCUUGAUAAUGUCAAUCGCGAGCUUUCGGUCCACUUCGAACCACUGAGGCCCUUUUCGCCAUUGAGUUAUAUUGACCUCGGGGGCCAUGUCGGGUCUGUACCUUCCCCUUCCAAAAGGGCGAGGAUCAUCGAAAGAACCGACAAAGCUGUAUCUUGAUUUCACCAGGUAUUGAUAAAUAAUGCUGAAGCCGUAGAUUGGGAUGCAAGAUUCAGAGAGAAGGACGAACCGUUCAUUUGAUAGGUCGAGCAAGGCAUUGGCCAGAAGCCGCCUCUCUGCGUCGCAGAUGCUUCUAUCCCCCCACAUGACGACCUGUCAAUUCCAAUCUAUAAGUAAAUAGUAAGCUAGAAUGCAAUGGUAGAACUUAGAAUACCACAUCGUAGGUAUUUAUGAUCACGAAUACGUUUUAUGUAGUACCCAUGAAUCAAUCUUUUAAACAUAGAAAACAAUGCACUGUGGCAGUUCUAGUAAGACCAGAAAAAGAUCUGUAGGAUAUCCACUGAACAUACUGCUUGCUUGUAGUACAUUCAAAGUGUGCAUUUACAGAAUGAUCUAGCAUUAGGAAAAGAGGACAGAAGAAACAACCAAUAGUGCACACUCUUACUAAUUACUAUUAGACCACAUCAAAAACAUCACUAGCCAAGAUCUUCUGCAAGCAUCAAUUAAGGUGUAUCAGGAACACUGAAACAAUACUGGAUGGUCUACAUAUGUUUAAGCACCUUCACGACAGUACUGAUAAUCCAAAUUACCUUGGGGGUCCAUUAAUGAUUACUGGUCCCAUCGAAAAAUUGGCAGAUGCCCUCGAAAUUUGUUUUGACUAAAAACUUUUUCCCGAAGAACUUGUACUACACUGGGUGUAUAAGGCAUAAAAAACAAGAAUGGCAAUUGUAUGUACAGAUUACAGAAUAAUUUGGAAGGGUGAAAAGGAGAAGCGAGUUAGCUAAGAUAUCCAACUGUAACAACUGCGUAAAAACUUAUCUGCGAGAAUCAGAAACCAUAUUUUAAAAAGAAAAAAGGAAUAGAACCGAAUCCUCAAGCAGUUACCCCACGCCAACUGAAAGAUAAAAUUACAGAUUGAAAUGCAAAUUAAAUUCAGGUAUGAAAUAUCUGCCGUCUAUAUCAUAUUCUUUAAGCUUAAAAUUGCUCAGGCAUUUCUCAUCUACGGUUGAAAUUCAUGAAAGUAGGAACGUACUGCAAUUCAUCCAAAUAGAAGCAAUUCUUCGAUCCAACGGAAGAGAUGAAUUUUGCCGAUCCUUCAAUCUAAGCUACAACAGGAUCAAAUGCAAUAUAGCAAAUGCAACAGAAAAAGCCUAAGCAUCAUUUGGUACCGCUAUCAUUUUUUGUUUCUGAACCCGAAUUCUAUGUUACUACGUGGGCUAGCGGACGGCAAAUUGUUUGCCAUCAAAACACUUUCGAAUUGACUGGGAUGAUAAGGAACAGUUACUGGAGGAUGAAUGUAAACCAUGUUGGCAUCAAUUCUGUUAAUCAAUGACCAAGUAUUCAUUUAGUAUGCUUCCAAGGCAUAUCUAAAAAAUUUUACAGCCUAAUUACUGGGUCGUAUUCACACACUUAACGACCGAAUAAAUUCAAAAUUCCAACUUUCUCAUAUAAUUUAGACAAUCAAAAAGUUGAAAGUAGAGAUAUCGAAAACUAUCUAUCAUGGGAGGCAAGUUUGUAGAAACAAAAGAAGAAGAUAAAUUAACAACGCAAUAAAUAAGCCUAAGUGCUCUGUUACUUUCUAUAAAACGAUAACGAAUCUGUAAUUAGGAACAGAGAGGUACCUGACUCGGGAUUUGUCUCCGGUAGAACACUGAGUUCGGCGGAAAAUCGGGAUGAUAAUCCGGCAACGAAUGAACAUAAAUCGAGUAUCGUCCUUUGUGGCCUUCGAAGAACUUCUCCCACAGAGGAUGAAGUGGCAAUGGGCCCCUUGUUAAGAACAUAAACGCAACCUUUGGGACCCUCUUAUAUGGACACUGCUUAAUCUCUGGAACAAACGAAGCACGCCAAAACAGCUCCUCGUCGCUCAUAUUAUGCAUCAAAGUAGAAGGAGGCGUAAUCCAACGGCUGAGAUCGCUCUGUUCGCCGAACCAGGGAUUGAAACUGGAACUACUACGCAACACCGUGAUAGGUUGGAGAUAGAAGUAGCGUGUCAUGUAGAAGCUGAGGAUUAGCAACCCAACGCUCAAAACAACGAGCGAUAUAAGAAUUUUUAGGGUUCCGAGAGGAAAAGCUCGAGAUUGAGUCCUUUGGGACGGUUCCGUUCCAUUCUCCAUGGCCAAAACCCUACCUUGCAUCUUAAAUUCUCAAAACUAACCCAAAAAAAGAAAAAAAAAAUCCAAAUUUGACGAAUCCAACUUCUGGGUAUUUCGAUUCUCCGUGCUCUGAUCAAUAAAAAAACCAAUUUUGGAUAGAAAAAUCGAAGGAUUAUGCUGAAAUCGAAGAUAACAACCUUGUUUCCUUAUAAGAUUUGAGACCAAAAUACUCCUUUGAACUGAAGUCGGCGACGUGGGUUGGUUUAUUAUCACCUCGGUGUUCAAAAGUCGGCGUCCCUUUGUCACUUCCCGCGCCCUCUCCUCGCAUACCAACCGCAACGAGAACAAAAAUCCGCAGAGUAAUUUGCUAUGAUUAUUACUCUCUCUCUCUAUAUAUAAUAAUAAUAAUAAUAAUAAUAAUAAAAAAUUGAAAAAAGGUUAUGGCUAUUUUUUGUGUGGGUGAAAACCCAGUUUCUUCGGCCCGUUUGGAUCGCGGGAUAAGCGUUUGGAUCGCGGGAUAAGCGGGGAUAACGAAAGUUAUCCCCGCUAUUCCGCCAAACGGGGUGAAAUUUGGCUGAAAUAUUCAUAAUUAUAUCAUGUUAAUUAUUAAAAUAUUAUUUUUAUUACAUAAUAUUAUAUAUUAUAUAAUAUAAAUAUAUUAAAUCAAAUUAAGUUAAAUAUUUAAAUUAAUUCAAACUUUAAUUCGUAACCUUAUCGUGAUAAGGUGGUUUUACCACCUUAUUGUUUAAGGAACGAUAAGGCCUUAUUGGCUCUUAUCGUUCUAAACUGGCCUUAUUNUUGUACUAUAUUAAUACAUAUUAUUUAUAUUUAAAUAUUAUAAUAAAAUUUAUAAUAAAUUAUAUUUAAAUAUUAUAAUAAAUUCUUUUUAUUAAAUUUAAAUUUAAGUAGAAUUUUUAAAAAAUUUAUAAAUUUAUUAUAAUAAAUUAUUUUUAUUAAUUGUUCCCACCACUAUUCUUAUUUUAAAAUUUUAAAAAUUAAAAAUUUAAAUUUUUAAAAUUUAUAAUUUAUAAUCUCAAAAUUAAAGUUUAAAAUUUAAAUUAUAAAUUUUAAAUUUUAAAUUUUAAAUUUGAUAUUUUAAAUUUUUGAAAUUUAAAAUUUGAUAUUUUAUAUUUUUUAAAAUUUAAAUAUGAUCUUAAAUUUAAAGUUUGAAAUUUAAAAUUUAAAAUUUUGAAUUUAAAAUUUGAGAUUUUAAAUUUCAAAGUUAAAAUUUUAAAUUUAGAAAUAUAAAUUUAAAAAUUUAAAAAUUCAAAUUCAAAUAUAAUAAGUGGAUAAUAUAAUUAUUUUUUAUUUACAAAACCCAUUAUCUUUCUUAUUCCAUCUUACCUAACCAAACGCUAUUUUUUUUAUUCCAGGAAUAACCCAAUUUUCAUCCAAACGCAAAAUUGAUUUAAUCCUCGCUUAUACCUCAAUUUAUACCUAUUCCUGGAAUAGCCACUUUUUCUUUAUCCCCGAACCAAACGAUACCGAAUUCGAGAUCAUAAGAAUUUAACAGGAGUUUGCAAAGCUCCUAGAGGAUUCGCGGGUCCUUGGCGUAGUAUAAAAGUAAGGGGAAGAAUAAAACGAGAAGUACAUAAUAUUAAUAAGGAUUAAUUUCAUACGCUACUCUAUAAAUAUACAGAGAAUUAUAAAUAUAUUUUUUAAAAGUUUAAUUUUUAUAUGUUAUUAUUUAAAAAAUUUUAAUAUUUUUAAAUAUAUUCCUCUAAUUUGUUACCGUUAGAUAAUUAUUUAUUUUUUUAAUUUUGUCAUCACAAAUAUACCGCUUCAAAAGUUAAUAUAAGAGAAAUAAAAAUAUCAAAAAUUAAUUAUGAUUAAAUAUUUAAUCUAUAGUUAAUUAAAAUUUUCUAAUGAAACCUAAACGGUAGGAACAUAUUUGAAAAUAUUAUUAAAAAUUGAACUUUACAGAAAUAUAUUUAUCAUUCACUAUAUUUACAUGGAUCCAUAUGAAAUUAAUCUUAUUAAUAAAGUGGUGGGGUCUACCAACGGUUCCGAUUAAGUGCGGUUUUUAUAAAAAUUAAAAUUUGAUAUUGAAUUGAAAUUGAAAUUUCAAUACAGAGUGGAAAUAGAAAAGUUGUAGAAAUUCACACCUGAAACCCGAAUCUCUUAGAAAAU
rnacentral:lncRNA from 1 species